GUGCUUGCCCCACCUAAAUUGGAAAUUUAGGUGGGGCUGGAUUCAAAAUCCAGUGCCGGCAACGGCGUGUGGGUUCGAUUCCCACCUCGGGUACA
rnacentral:tRNA from 1 species